rnacentral:rRNA from 1 species
AUGGCCCUUCACAAGCUCAGGAUCACCACCUGGGCCUUUAGCCUACUCGUUGAUGUCAACGUCUACAUAGAACCCAUCAGAAGGGGUUGCAGCGUCUUCUGUAAAAAUGUAAAUUAUAGCAACAUGAGUACAAAGGUACUCAGCAAGACUUACAUCAGAUCCUACAUACAUGCAUAUUAUCAAGAAGGGUUGGUGGAGUUAUUGCAGCAAGCCAGCUUUGACUCUUGGCUAGACUAUCCUACGAUACUUCAACUUGAAAUGGUUUUGCGCACACGAGUCCACUACCCACCACUUCAAUACACCACCGAGGAUCCGCCUCCGUCUUCCUACGGAAGAGCCAUCCUCGGCACUCACACUUAUCUUGAGGCUUUUAGUAGUUUCCAUUUACUUGUCUAUGAACUGUAUAGGCAACCAAGUAGUCCUUUACCGCGGACGCGGCUAUUCGAAUAG